CCCAGCAUGUAUGCUCUUGGUACGCCGCAACUCGCAAUGAGUUAUAGCGACGUCCCGGGAAUGCGAGGCAAAAUAUAUCUCCACCCAUCUUCCCUUAUAUAUAUUGUGUAAAUAUAUAUAAACAUAUUUACUUUCAUUACGCCUUUGGGUUUAAUGUAUAUAAAAAUUAAUUUUAUAUCCCAUUGACUCGCAUACAUGCUAGACUCCUUGGUCCGUGUUUCAAGACGGGUCCUAUAAUGGCCCAAAUACAUAUAUGUUGUUAACUGAUGACAAGAGUAGCCGUACAAGAACACUAUAAACUAACAAUAUUAUAUGUAUAGAAACGGCCCAUAAUGGAAUCCGUUUUCUAUAAUAUCAUCAUAUAAAUAUUUGUUAUAGGUUCGAACGCACCCUUACACUCGAAAAAGUUUUAUAAAAAAACUUUAAAGAACAUAAGCAGCGACUCAUCAUCGAUUAUCUUCCAUUGUAUAGAUGUCAGGACACCACAAGUCCGGGUUACCAACAUUUUAUAAAUAAAACACUCAUAACCACGGUCUGCCAUUGUGGACCUAAAUUGACACCCUUAAAUCAUAAUUGAAUAACAAUGGGUCACAACACAUCUACUAUGGGAGAAGUGCACACCUCCAUUUAUAAACACCAUUAUAUCAUAAGUAGCGGAGCAUCAUAUAAUACGGAAUAAAUUCUUUAAUAAAAAAAAAUCUAUCCGACAUAUAAUGUCUCAAUAAAUUAAUAUAUCACUACUAAAUGGUCAUAAACGGUAUGGUAAUUGAAUCUCCCAAUUCGAUACUUUGAGCAUUAUAGGUUUACCCUUGAACAGUUUCACGUACUCUUGAACUCUCUCUUCAAAGUUCUUUUCAACUUUCCCUCACGGUACUUGUUUGCUAUCGGUUUCGCAGUAAUAUUUAGCCUUAGAUGGAGUUUACCACCCACUUAGAGCUGCACUCUCAAGCAACCCGACUCUAAAGAGAAACCCACCUAUAUUUAUAAACGGUCACUACGGGCCUGGCACCCUCUAUGGGUAAAUGGCCCCCUUCAAGAAGGACUUGGACUCGCUUAUAGUAUAACAUAGGUUAAACGGGCUCUCCUAAACACUACAUUGCCCGACAAUUGUUUCCAAUUGUGGGCUUCAGUGCUGGGCUACUCCCUGUUCGCUCGCCGCUACUAAGGGAAUC
rnacentral:rRNA from 1 species